rnacentral:rRNA from 1 species
CUUGGUCAUUUAGAGGAAGUAAAAGUCGUAACAAGGUUUCCGUAGGUGAACCUGCGGAAGGAUCAUUAGUGAUUUGGCCUCCGGGCCUUCAAUCCCAUCCUCAUACCUCUGUGAACCAGUUGGGCCCUCGGGCCUACCCUUUCAAACACUGUGUAAUGAACGUGAUGUAUAUUAUAAACCUAGUAAAACUUUCAACAACGGAUCUCUUGGCUCUCGCAUCGAUGAAGAACGCAGCGAAAUGCGAUAAGUAAUGUGAAUUGCAGAAUUCAGUGAAUCAUCGAAUCUUUGAACGCACCUUGCGCCUCUUGGUAUUCCGAGAGGCAUGCCUGUUUGAGUGUCAUGAAAACCUCAAUCCUUCACGGUUUUGUUACCGGGCUGGACUUGGACUUGGGUGUCUGCCGACUUCGCCGGCUCACCUUAAAGGCGUUAGUGGGAUAGGCCUCUGGCUCGACGUAAUAAGUUUCGUUGGACCCCUGGCUCUACGCCCGCUCACAACCACCCCUUACUCUUUAUCUUCUGACCUCAAAUCAGGUAGGGCUACCCGCUGAACUUAAGCAUAUCAAUAAGCGGAGGA